rnacentral:rRNA from 1 species
UAUCUCUGUAGAGUCUGCAUAUCAAUAAGCGGAGGAAAAGAAACUAACAAGGAUUCCCUAGUAACGGCGAGUGAAGCGGGAAGAGCUCAAAUUUGAAAUCUUCAAGGUUCUACCUUGACGAAUUGUAGUUUAAAGAAGUGUUUUCUGUUAGAUGAGUAGCUAAAAGUUCUUGGAAUAGGACAUCAUAGAGGGUGAGAAUCCCGUAUUUGACGUUAUUCAUUUCUAGCUUUGUGAUACACUUUCAAAGAGUCGGAUUGUUUGGGAAUGCAGUCCAAAAUGGGUGGUAAAUUUCAUCUAAAGCUAAAUAUUGGCGAGAGACCGAUAGCGAACAAGUACCGUGAGGGAAAGAUGAAAAGAACUUUGAAAAGAGAGUUAAACAGUACGUGAAAUUGUCAAAAGGGAAGCGUUUGACACCAGUGUUGUUUUUCCGAAAAUCAAUUACGAAUGGCUUGAUUUUGUGUUGUAUUGACCUUAUCAGCUUUCUUCACUUUUUUCGAGUCUUUCUUAAUGCACUUUUCGGUUAACAAGUCAACAUCAAUUUCUUUUGUUGUAAAAGAGUAUUCGGAAGGUGGCUUUCUUUUCGGAGAAAGUGUUUAUAGCCCUAUACUUCUACAAUCGGAGAGAUUGAGGUCUGCAGCGUAGAUCCUUCGGGGUUAGAUACACUUGUGCUAAGUUGUAGCUUUUCAUAGACAACUUGUUGACUAUGUUUAGUCAUGCGGCUUACUCGCUUAGUGCUAUUUUACCUACGCUUAGGAUGUUGACUGAUAUGUAGUCGUA